AAGGUUGUACAGUCCAUAAAGCCCUGGGAAGCACACCCCAGACGGUGUAGUUCUUGCUGGCUCCGCCUAAAGCAGAGAGGAGGGAGUAGACACGAUGGAAAGACAACAUCUCCUUGGUUCUCCCUGUUCUGAAGGAAAGCAUCUGUUCUUGCUUCCCGGCCUCAUUUCCACAUCUAUCUGGCACAUCUUGAGACUCUUGAUCCCGACAAAAGUCCUUGUUUAUUUCUCCUUCAGCUUAAGCAGCUCCUUAGGUUGAAAGAAGGACCGAGAAAGUCAAACAAUGAAAAGAGAGAAGACAACACAAAGGAAAUCCAACACCCUUAGCCACCCCUCCGUAACAAACACCUUCAUUUGGCGAGGAUCCUGAUAUUAGGAGCCUGUGAAAACAAUCGGACGCUAGCUGAACAACAGAGGGCUUAAAUGUACUGUCACAGACAAGGGACCUUCUACAGGCUGAGGACGAGCUUGCGGCGUCUCUUGUGUAUAGACCCAGCGAGCACCUGCUGAAUGCACCAGCAGGAGGUGAUGUGCCACCAUGAGCUUCUGCCAUGAGUGUUUCAUCUUUCCAGGAGUCCACAGAAGACGGCUUGCUCUAACAGACUUCAACCUCCAAACCAUGAACUAAAAUAAAUCUUCUCUCUUUAAAA